UGCCAGAUCGUCUAAUGGUAGGACAUCUCCCUCUGGAGGAGAUUAUCUUGGUUCGAAUCCAAGUCUGGCAG
rnacentral:tRNA from 1 species